AGCAACAAAUUAAAGAAUCAAAGCUUGAAUCGGCAUAAGGGGCAAAAAUGAGUCCUCUCAAGCCACUGUGUGAUACAGUCCGUAGAGUAUAUAUGAGCACAGGGUAACCUUAUCACCUCCACACCUUCUCCAAUCUUUUCCAAACAAAUCGAACAUUCCCUCUCCUCCCCAAACUCUGUAACUCUCCUCUCUAAAUGUCUUUGUUGUAGUAUCUACUGAUAGGUGCCUUUCAAUUUGUAAAUGUCUUUCAGAUCAUUGUUGCUUGCUGCUUGCUGCUUUGAGGCAGUUGUUUAUUGCAAAGAAUAUAGGUUGCGAUGUCAUUAAUUUGGGGAUGGGUAAUGGUGCUUUCAGUGCUUGAAACGGUCAAGGCAUUUGAGAAGGCAACAGGAAAGCCUGGACAGAGUUCAGAGCAUCAACGUCAGAUGACGUUGCUAGAAUCUGGUACCCCAGGAGUCCCUCCUUUUGGUGCUUUGAGUUCUGGCUUCACUAAUCACUAACCAGACUGCUUCUCCACCUAUUCAAGCAUAUGCUGGCCACCACCACCAACAACAUCCGAUGCCACAGCAUUGGUAAUCCUCAUCAUUCGCAUUUUCCAAGACAGAAUCACACUGCCACUCCAGAGCAACAAGCCUUUAUGCGUCUUCAAAGAGACCGGAAGAUUCAGCAAAGACUGUUGCAGCGGCAGCAACAACAACAACAGCAAGAGCUUCCCGCAUUAGGUGCAUUGAUGACACAUGCCCAAACUCCUUCCCAGCUACCUGCAUCAUCUUCUGUGCAGAAUGCUUACCAGAAUUACCAACUGCUUCUCAGCCGAAUUCAUCCUAAUUUCUCUCAGGCUCCCAUUUGAUGUAAUUUCUUCUUCUUUUUCUUCCUCUCUUUUUUUUUCCUAUUAAUUUUUUUUUAUAAUGACAGAGGCUUUCGAGAAUUUCGAGCACAUGUUUUCUUUUGUGUAGUUUGUGUUUGCUUGCUUGAUGGUUUUACUUGAUGAUCCUCUUUAUCGGUAGAGUGUUUAAUGGGAAAAAGAGAGCUAGAAGAGUA